rnacentral:rRNA from 1 species
GGGCCCGCACAAGCAGCGGAGCGUGUGGUUUAAUUCGAUGUUACACGAAGAACUUACCAGGGUUUGACAUGCAAGUGGUAGGAAGCCGAAAGGUGACCGACCCUUCGGGAGCUUGCACAGGUGCUGCAUGGCUGUCGUCAGCUCGUGUCGUGAGAUGUUCGGUUAAGUCCGCUAACGAGCGCAACCCUCGCUGUGUGUUAUAUGUGUCACACGGGACUGCCGGUCUUAAGCCGGAGGAAGGUGGGGAUGAUGUCAAGUCAGCAUGGCCUUUAUAUCCUGGGCUACACACACGCUACAAUGGCAGAUACAAUAGGUUGCGAAACCGCGAGGUGGAGCCAAUCCUCAAAGUCUGUCUCAGUUCAGAUUGUAGGCUGCAACUCGCCUGCAUGAAGUUGGAGUUGCUAGUAAACGCAGGUCAGCUAUACUGCGUUGAAUACGUUCCCGGGGUUU